CCGCACAGCGCCCCGCGCGCGGGGCCUCAGGCAGGAUCAGUGCCGCGGCCCCCCCGGGGACGGCGGGGCUGGGGGUGCAGGGGGCUGGGGGCGGUGGGGUCUGGCUGCGGGGCUGCUGCCGCCCCGUUCCCUUGGGUGCUCCUGGCAGCCGGGAACUGGUCAGGGUGGGAGCUUGGUGGCCCUGGAGGUGCUCAGGACCCUUUGGUGCAGCCUGCAGCUCAGGGCCAGGCCCUGGUUUUCCUCACAGGCCCCCCCCAGAGCCUGGCUGCUCUCCCCCUCCUUGGGAAAGGUGACGCCGUGGUGGCUUUGGGGUCUGGCCAGGGAAAUUCAGAGCUGGGGAAGAGAGCCCAGAAGAACCAGGCCGGUGGGGCUGGGCCGUGGUCACUGGUACUGGUGGGGCUGGGCCGUGGUCGCUGGUACUGGUGGGGCUGGGCCGUGGUCACUGGUACUGGUGCUGCCCUCACGGUGGUGACAAGGCUGGGGGCUGCUGUUGGGGUGCCAUUUAUUAGGGUUACCACUGUCCCCCCCACAGCUCCAUGUCCACACAGGUGUGACAACAGGGACAGGGCCCCCUCUCCGCCCCCCCCAGCUCCGUGGCAGGAGUUGGGGGCUGCCACUGGGCGAACCCAUCCCGAUUCCCUCUGGCUGCCCCCGUGUGCGGGGCUGGUGGCUGGGAACCGGCAGGGACACCGCUUUCUGCCCAGUUUAGCUUUCGGUCAAGGGGUUUUGGGGUCCCCCCCGGGGCAGAGGGGUGGCCCACGGCCCGCUCGCACCCCUCGCAUCGGGGCCGGAGCUCGGGUGCUGCCAACCAGCGGCUGCCGCAUUUCAUCCGCUCUGACGUGGCCUUUUGUCAGCGGAGCCAGCGCACGGAGGGAUGUAUGGAAAUCCUAUAGCCACAGCUGUUCCCGAGCUGGGCGAAGUUCACAUAGUGCUGAGGCUGCCGGGGCGCCUGGCCCACCACGGGUUUUGGUUUCAGGCUCCCCAAAGGCUUCUGGCCACGCAGCCCCAGCCCCGCUGCCCCUGCGGCCGCCGGGCCUGGGGGUGGUGGUGCUGGGAGCUCCCAUCCCGCCGGGUGCCCGAGGUAUCGCCGAAAUUUUUGGAAACCAGAAUCCAGGGCAGUUUUGUUGCCCCCCCACCCCCCACCCCAUACACAGGCUGGCUGGCCUUGGGGGGGUUUAA
rnacentral:lncRNA from 1 species